UGAGGAAUAUUGGUCAAUGGGCGAGAGCCUGAACCAGCCAAGUAGCGUGCAGGAUGACGGCCCUAUGGGUUGUAAACUGCUUUUAUAUGGGAAUAAAGUGAGGGACGUGUCCCUUAUUGCAUGUACCAUACGAAUAAGGACCGGCUAAUUCCGUGCCAGCAGCCGCGGUAAUACGGAAGGUCCAGGCGUUAUCCGGAUUUAUUGGGUUUAAAGGGAGCGUAGGCUGUUUGUUAAGCGUGUUGUGAAAUGUAAGAGCUCAACUUUUAGAUUGCAUCGCUAACUGGCUGACUUGAGUGCGCAGAGCGUAGGCGGAUUUCAUGGUGUGGCGGUGAAAUGCUUAGAUAUCAUAACGAACUCCGGUAGCGAAGGCAGCUGACGGGAGCGCAACUGACGCUAAAGCUCGAAGGUGCGGGUAUCGAACAGG
rnacentral:rRNA from 1 species